rnacentral:lncRNA from 1 species
GUGUGCCUGUCUGGAAUGGACUGUUGCAGUGUGUUCUCCACAAAGAGGGACCUCACAAUGACGUCCACAGGUGUGCCUGAAUGGAAUGGGCUGGAGCGGCAUGUUCCCCACAGCUAGGGUCAACAUGACUUCAUCCACAGCUGUGCCUGUCUGGAACAGGAUGGUGCGGCCUGUUCCCCUCAAUGAGGGACCCCAAAAUGGCAUCUACAGGUGUGCCUGUGACAGGUUCAAGUGCCAUUUUCCCCGUGAUGAGGGACCCCAUGACAGCAUCCACAGGUGUGCAUGGAUAGAAUGGGCUGGAGUGACAUGCUCCCCACAAUGAGGGACCCCACAACCAUGUCCACAGGUAUGCCUUUCUGGAACGGGCUAGUUUCAUGUUCCCCAUGACAAGUAAUCCCACAAUAGCAUCCACAAUUGUGCCUGUCUGGAAUGGGCUGGAGGGGAGUUUUCCCCAUGAUGAGGGAUCCCACAGUGGUGUCCACAGUUGCACCUGCCUGGAAGGGGCUGGAUCAGCAUGUUUCCCAUGACAAGGGACCCCACACCAUUGUCGACAGGUGUGCCUCUCCAGAAGGGCUGUAGCAGCAUGUUCCCUGUGACAAGGGACCCCACGACAUUGCCCAAAGAUUUGCCUUUCUGGAAUGGCAUGGAUUGGCGUGUACCCUGUGAUGAGAGAUGCCUCAAUGGUGUCCGCAGUUGUGCCUUUCUGAAAUGGGCUGUAUUGGCAUGUUCCCUGAAUUGAGGGACCCCAUGACAGUGUCCUCAGUUUUGCUUGUCUAGAAUGGGGUGGAUUGGUGUGUUGCCUGUGAUGAGAGCCACCAUGACAUCUUCCACUGGUGAGCCUGUCUGGAACGAGUUGGAUUGGUGUGUUCCCCAUGAUGAGGGAACCUUCAAUAGUGUCCACAGUUGUGCCUGUCUGGGAUGGAGUGGAUUGUUGUGUUCCCCAUGGUGAUAGAUAUCAUGAUGGCAUCCAUAGGUGUGCCUGUCUGGAACAGGCUCAAGCAAUGUGUUCUCCAUGAUGAGGGACCCCGCAACAGUAUCCACAGGUGUGCAUGGUUGGAACAGGCUGGAGCGACAUGUUCCCUGCAACAAGGGACCCUGCGACCAUGUCCACAGGUUUCUUUGGCCACCAGCACUUCUGAACAUCCAAGCCAAGUAGACUGAUCACUCCUCAGACUAAAGUCUGAUGCCCCAUCUGGUAUCCCUUUACAUAAUUACUUAUAUCACAGCUAUUUCAUUUACUUGCUUCUAAAACUCUUUUAACUUUUCCAAGUAACACACUUAAUGGUAAUUGCCUACCUUGCCUUGUUCUUUUUUUAAAAGACAAGUAUUAUUCCAGGAUAUGUGGGUGCCUGGGGUAUCUUGGAGAGCUGAAAAUCACAAGGAGUGGUGUCCUUGCUUGAACCCAAUUCCUACUGUGUCCACUGACAGAGAAACAGACCCCUAUGAGGAGCUUAUUGUGGAGAGUGAAGGGUUGAAACAACCCUGAAAGACACCUGAGCCCCUUGAGAUUCUUGAGUCAGAUAAGAACAUAAUGAGCCAGGAUAUGCACCUGGUACAAAACCAAGGAUGUUGACUUUUAAAGAAAACAACGAAUAUAGAAAGGAUUUGAAUGUCUUCUGGACAAGAAAGUAACAUUCCUGGAAUUGUAAAGAUAUAUUUGACCUUUUCUCUGUAAAAAUAAUUAGUCACGAGAUCAUGAGGGGAGGAAGGGAGGGAGGCUGUGGGUAAUGAAGGAGGAUAUAUAAAAGGCUCAAUAAAGUGGGAAGGAGAAGGCUCUCCCUCUCCUCUCCUUUUCUUUUCUCCUGAAUUUGUGUUGUUUUUCUUAAUCCUCACCCCUCUCCUCAGGUACUGUUCGUCUAGUGACGGCUGGCUCCAUCAGCUUAUAAAUUAUGCUCUCUUUCCAUGUCUGUGUCUAUUUUAUGUUCUAAUUUGCAAAGAACCUCUUUAUUCUUCUUAAUUUAGUUCUAUCACAAGGCCUGCAGAGAGAAAAAGAGAGCUGGAGUGAACAUACAAUCGGAGCAUCAUAUGCAUCUUCUGAACAAUGCAAUUAUGCUUGCAGGGUUCCUCUCAAUCCUCUAUUGCUUCUGAUGAAAAACAUGCUGCCUGAUCUAACUUGUUUUCUAUCAGAGGUUGUAGUUUGAAGAUUUAUGAAGAAAAGCUUCUGGGAAUUGAGUGCUAUAUUCCAGGAAGGGGGGUAGGUGGUGUACUUGGAUUCACAGUGUGCAGAAGGCAGGAGGGAGUCAUUCAUAUCUUGUGUUUUUCAUAUGAGAGGAACUAUGGUGAUUGAAAUGAAUAGACACUUCUUAAAAGAUAAAUUUAAAUGGGC